GGAUUAGGCAUGCAAGUCGCACGAGAAAGGUUUCUUCGGAAGCCGGGUACAGUGGCGAACGGGUGAGUAAUGCAUAGACAACUCGCCCUUGAGAUGGGGACAACGCCUCGAAAGGGGUGCUAAUACCCAAUGCCGCCUUGGGCCCGCGGGUCCAGGGUGAAAGGAGGCCUCUGAUUCAAGCUUCCGCUCAAGGAGAGGUUUAUGUCCUAUUAGCUAGUUGGCGGGGUAACGGCCCACCAAGGCUGCGAUGGGUAGCCGACCUGAGAGGGUGACCGGCCACAUUGGGACUGAGACACUGCCCAGACUCCUACGGGAGGCUGCAGUCGAGAAUCUUCCGCAAUGCGCGCAAGCGUGACGGAGCGACGCCGCGUGGGUGAUGAAGGCCUUCGGGUUGUAAAACCCUGUCAGCUACUACGAAACACGGGCGAUGAACAAUCGUCCCGUCUGACUUAAGUAGCAGAGGAAGCACCGGCUAACUACGUGCCAGCAGCCGCGGUAAUACGUAGGGUGCAAACGUUGUUCGGAAUCACUGGGCAUAAAGGGCGCGUAGGCGGUCUGAUAAGUCAGGUGUGAAAUCCCUCGGCCUAACCGAGGAACUGCAUUUGAUACUGUCGGGCUAGAGUACAGGAGGGGAGAGUGGAAUUCCUGGUGGAGCGGUGAAAUGCGUAGAUAUCAGGAGGAACGCCGGCGGCGAAAGCGACUCUCUGGCCUGUUACUGACGCUGAGGCGCGAAAGCUAGGGGAGCAAACGGGAUUAGAUACCCCGGUAGUCCUAGCCCUAAACGAUGGGCACUAAGUAGAGGGGUUUU
rnacentral:rRNA from 1 species